GAAAGAGAAAAAAAGAAGAAAAAGAAGAUAAAAAAAUGGGGGUUUGUUUGCUUGUUUGUUUUUGUUUG
rnacentral:ribozyme from 13 species